UUUGAAAUCUGGUAGCCUUCGGUUGCCCGAGUUGUAAUCUAGAGAAGUGUUUUCCGUGCCGGCCCAUGUACAAGUCCCUUGGAACAGGGCGUCAUAGAGGGUGAGAAUCCCGUCCUUGACAUGGACCCCCGGUGCUUUGUGAUACACUUUCAACGAGUCGAGUUGUUUGGGAAUGCAGCUCAAAAUGGGUGGUGAAUUCCAUCUAAAGCUAAAUAUUGGCGAGAGACCGAUAGCGAACAAGUACCGUGAGGGAAAGAUGAAAAGCACUUUGGAAAGAGAGUUAAACAGUACGUGAAAUUGUUGAAAGGGAAACGAUUGAAGUCAGUCAUGCUCUUGGGACUUACCUCCCUUGAGUGGGGUCAACAUCACUUUUGAUCGAUGGAUAAAGGCACGGGGAAGGUAGCACUCUCGGGUGAACUUAUAGCCUCUCGUCAUAUACAUUGAUUGGGACUGAGGAACGCAGCAUGCCUUAUGGCCGGGAUUCGUCCACGUACAUGCUUAGGAUGUU
rnacentral:rRNA from 1 species